AUACGUAGGGGGCGAGCGUUGUCCGGAAUGAUUGGGCGUAAAGGGCGCGUAGGCGGCCGCUUAAGUCUGGAGUGAAAGUCCUGUUUUCAAGAUGGGAAUUGCUUUGGAUACUGGGGGGCUUGAGUGCAGGAGAGGUUAUCGGAAUUCCCGGUGUAGCGGUGAAAUGCGGAGAGAUCGGGAGGAACACCAGUGGCGAAGGCGGGUAACUGGACUGCAACUGACGCUGAGGCGCGAAAGUGUGGGGAGCAAACAGGAUUAGAUACCCUGGUAGUCCACACUGUAAACGAUGAAUGCUAGGUGUAAGAGGUAUCGACCCCUUUUGUGCCGGAGUCAACACAAUAAGCAUUCCGCCUGGGGAGUACGGCCGCAAGGUUGAAACUCAAAUGAAUUGACGGGG
rnacentral:rRNA from 1 species